CACGCCGCGUGAGUGAUGAAGGCUUUCGGGUCGUAAAACUCUGUUGUUAGGGAAGAACAAGUGCUAGUUGAAUAAGCUGGCACCUUGACGGUACCUAACCAGAAAGCCACGGCUAACUACGUGCCAGCAGCCGCGGUAAUACGUAGGUGGCAAGCGUUAUCCGGAAUUAUUGGGCGUAAAGCGCGCGCAGGUGGUUUCUUAAGUCUGAUGUGAAAGCCCACGGCUCAACCGUGGAGGGUCAUUGG
rnacentral:rRNA from 1 species